rnacentral:pre_miRNA from 1 species
AUCCUCUGGAGAUCUUGUUAAAAUGCAGAUUCUGAUUCAGUAGGUCUGGGACGGGAUUCUGUAUUUCUAACAAGCUCCCAGGGGAUGCUGG